rnacentral:rRNA from 1 species
GACGAACGCUGGCGGCGUGCUUAACACAUGCAAGUCGAGCGGUAAGGCCCUUCGGGGUACACGAGCGGCGAACGGGUGCGUAACACGUGAGCAAUCUGCCAUUCACUCUGGGAUAACCCCCGGAAACGGGCGCUAAUACCGGAUAUGACCACUACACGCAUGCGUGGGUGGUGGAAAGUUCUGGCGGUGGAGGAUGAGCUCGCGGCCUAUCAGCUUGUUGGUGGGGUAAUGGCCCACCAAGGCUUCGACGGGUAGCCGGCCUGAGAGGGUGACCGGCCACACUGGGACUGAGACACGGCCCAGACUCCUACGGGAGGCAGCAGUGGGGAAUAUUGGACAAUGGGCGAAAGCCUGAUCCAGCAACGCCGCGUGAGGGAUGACGGCCUUCGGGUUGUAAACCUCUUUCAGCGCAGACGAAGCGAAAGUGACGGUAUGCGCAGAAGAAGCACCGGCCAACUACGUGCCAGCCGCCGCCGUAACAC